UCCGAUGUCGUCCAGCGG
rnacentral:siRNA from 1 species